GAUGAACGCUGGCGGCGUGCCUAAUACAUGCAAGUCGAGCGAAUGGAUUAAGAGCUUGCUCUUAUGAAGUUAGCGGCGGACGGGUGAGUAACACGUGGGUAACCUGCCCAUAAGACUGGGAUAACUCCGGGAAACCGGGGCGAAUACCGGAUAAUAUUUUGAACUGCAUGGUUCAAAAUUGAAAGGCGGCUUCGGCUGUCACUUAUGGAUGGACCCGCGUCGUAUUAGCUAGUUGGUGAGGUAACGGCUCACCAAGGCAACGAUGCGUAGCCGACCUGGGAGGGUGAUCGGCCACACUGAGACUGAGACACGGCCCAGACUCCUACGGGAGGCAGCAGUAGGGAAUCUUCCGCAAUGGACGAAAGUCUGACGGAGCAACGCCGCGUGAGUGAUGAAGGCUUUCGGGUCGUAAAACUCUGUUGUUAGGGAAGAACAAGUGCUAGUUGAAUAAGCUGGCACCUUGACGGUACCUAACCAGAAAGCCACGGCUAACUACGUGCCAGCAGCCGCCGUAA
rnacentral:rRNA from 1 species